rnacentral:rRNA from 1 species
CAUGCAGGCGGCCAUCUAAGUCAGAUGUGAAAGCCCACGGCUCAACCGUGGAACUGCAUUUGAUACUGGUUGGCUAGAGUACGGUUGGGGUGAGUGGAACUCCUGGUGGAGCGGUGAAAUGCGUAGAUAUCAGGAGGAACACCAGUGGCGAAAGCGGCUCACUGGACCGUAACUGACGCUGAGGUGCGAAAGCUAGGGUAGCGAACAGGAUUAGAUACCCUGGUAGUC